rnacentral:rRNA from 1 species
GAUGAACGCUGGCGGCGUGCCUAAUACAUGCAAGUCGAGCGAACAGACGAGGAGCUUGCUCCUCUGACGUUAGCGGCGGACGGGUGAGUAACACGUGGAUAACCUACCUAUAAGACUGGGGUAACUUCGGGAAACCGGAGCUAAUACCGGAUAAUAUAUUGAACCGCAUGGUUCAUUAGUGAAAGACGGUUUUGCUGUCACUUAUAGAUGGAUCCGCGCCGCAUUAGCUAGUUGGUAAGGUAACGGCUUACCAAGGCAACGAUGCGUAGCCGACCUGAGAGGGUGAUCGGCCACACUGGAACUGAGACACGGUCCAGACUCCUACGGGAGGCAGCAGUAGGGAAUCUUCCGCAAUGGGCGAAAGCCUGACGGAGCAACGCCGCGUGAGUGAUGAAGGUCUUCGGAUCGUAAAACUCUGUUAUUAGGGAAGAACAAAUGUGUAAGUAACUAUGCACGUCUUGACGGUACCUAAUCAGAAAGCCACGGCUAACUACGUG